rnacentral:rRNA from 1 species
GAUGAACGCUAGCGGCAGGCUUAAUACAUGCAAGUCGAGGGGCAGCAUGAGUGUAGCAAUACAUUUGAUGGCGACCGGCAAACGGGUGCGGAACACGUACACAACCUUCCUAUAAGUGGGGAAUAGCCCAGAGAAAUUUGGAUUAAUACCCCGUAACAUAAUGGUGUGGCAUCACAUUAUUAUUACAGCUACGGCGCUUAUUGAUGGGUGUGCGGCUGAUUAGAUAGUUGGCGGGGUAACGGCCCACCAAGUCUACGAUCAGUAGCUGAUGUGAGAGCAUGAUCAGCCACACGGGCACUGAGACACGGGCCCGACUCCUACGGGAGGCAGCAGUAAGGAAUAUUGGUCAAUGGACGCAAGUCUGAACCAGCCAUGCCGCGUGAAGGAUUAAGGUCCUCUGGAUUGUAAACUUCUUUUAUCUGGGACGAAAAAAGGCGAUUCUUCGUCACUUGACGGUACCAGAUGAAUAAGCACCGGCUAACUCCGUGCCAGCCGCCGCGGUAACAC